ensembl:lncRNA
CCUACCUGGUUAAAUAAAGGUGUUCUCAACUAGUCCUACCUGGUUAAAUAAAGGUGUUCUCAACUAGUCCUACCUGGUUAAAUACAGGUGUUCUCAACUAGCCUACCUGGUUAAAUAAAGGUGUUCUCAACUAGUCCUACAUGGUUAAAUAAAGUUGUUCUCAACUAGUCCUACCUGGUUAAAUGAAGGUGUUCUCAACUAGUCCUACCUGGUUAAAUAAAGGUGUUCUCAACUAGCCUACCUGGUUAAAUAAAGGUUUUCUCAACUAGCCUACCUGGUUAAAUAAAGGUGUUCUCAACUAGUCCUACCUGGUUAAAUGAAGGUGUUCUCAACUAGUCCUACCUGGUUAAAUAAAGGUGUUCUCAA